rnacentral:rRNA from 1 species
ACGCUGGCGGCAGGCCUAACACAUGCAAGUCGAGCGGUAGAGAGAAGCUUGCUUCUCUUGAGAGCGGCGGACGGGUGAGUAAUGCCUAGGAAUCUGCCUGGUAGUGGGGGAUAACGUUCGGAAACGGACGCUAAUACCGCAUACGUCCUACGGGAGAAAGCAGGGGACCUUCGGGCCUUGCGCUAUCAGAUGAGCCUAGGUCGGAUUAGCUAGUUGGUGAGGUAAUGGCUCACCAAGGCGACGAUCCGUAACUGGUCUGAGAGGAUGAUCAGUCACACUGGAACUGAGACACGGUCCAGACUCCUACGGGAGGUAGCAGUGGGGAAUAUUGGACAAUGGGCGAAAGCCUGAUCCAGCCAUGCCGCGUGUGUGAAGAAGGUCUUCGGAUUGUAAAGCACUUUAAGUUGGGAGGAAGGGCAGUUACCUAAUACGUGAUUGUUUUGACGUUACCGACAGAAUAAGCACCGGCUAACUCCGUGCCAGCAGCCGCGGUAAUACAGAGGGUGCAAGCGUUAAUCGGAAUUACUGGGCGUAAAGCGCGCGUAGGUGGUUUGUUAAGUUGGAUGUGAAAUCCCCGGGCUCAACCUGGGAACUGCAUUCAAAACUGACUGACUAGAGUGUGGUAGAGGGUGGUGGAAUUUCCUGUGUAGCGGUGAAAUGCGUAGAUAUAGGAAGGAACACCAGUGGCGAAGGCGACCACCUGGACCAACACUGACACUGAGGUGCGAAAGCGUGGGGAGCAAACAGGAUUA